rnacentral:tRNA from 1 species
GCCCUGAUGGUCUAGUGGUUAAGAUUUGGCACUCUCACUGGCAGGGCCUGGGUUCACUUCCUGGUCAGGGAA